UAACAGUACUUUUCCUUUUUUGCACCAGGGAUCAAACUUGCGUCCUUGCGCUUGUGCAUCAGGUGGCGAAACCACUGAGCUAAAUCCCCGCCCCCAGUUAUUACUUUUUUGUGUAAUAAAUAUUUUGUAUUUGAAAAAAGAAAAAAAGAGUGGUUGCCGGGAGUGGUGGCGCACACCUGUAAUUCCAGCACUUGGGAAGCAGAGGCAGGAGGAUCAACAUGAGUUUGAGUCUAGCCUGAACACAAAGUGAGACCUUGUCUAAAGAAAAAAGAGGUGACAGUGGACACCUUGUCCUGUUCUUGAUUUUACUUCCAGGCUGCCUGCCUUUCUUCCCUCCUCCCUCCCAUCUUUCUUUCUCUCUCUCUCCUCUCUCUCCUCUCUCUCCUUUUUUUUUCUGUACCGGGAAUCAAAUUCCAGGCCUUAUGUUUGCCAAGGCAUUGAGCCACUGAACUACAUCCCUGGCAUUUUUUUUUUUUUUGGUACCGGGGAUCAAACUCGGGUCCUUGCGCCUGCUCACCAGGAAGCGAAACCACUGAGCUAAAUCCCAGGCCCUUGAGACGAGGUCUUGCUAUGUAGUUCAGGCUGGCCUUGAACUCACUGUGUAGCCCAGGCUGGCCUCAAACUCAGUGAUCCUCUUGCCUCAGCUUCUCCAAUGCCAGUCCAGGCUAGCCUCACUCAUGCUCAACCUCCUGCCUCAGCCUCCCAUGUGCUGUGAUUACAGGCAUAUGCCACCAUGCCCACCUUUGGCACCCUUUUCCUAAACCAUUUAACCAUAUAUAUGAGGAUCUGUUUCUCAGCUGUCUUCUAUUCCUUUGAUCUGUUUGUCUUCCACCAGUACAGCACUGUUUUGAUUACUGUAGCUUUAUAGUUUUGUGUUUUGAGCCAACUCCUCACUAUGUAGUUCAGGCUAGCCUUGAUUUUUUUUUUUUUUUUGAAACAAGGUCUUGCUAUUUAGUUCAGUCUGGCCUUGAACUCACUCUGUAACUCACGUUGGCCUCAAACUCACAGCAAUCCUCCUUUUUCAGCCUCCUGUGUGCUGGGAUUAUAGGCGUGCAUCAUCAGGAAGUGCCAAGUCUCCAGCCAAGCAGCAUUUCCUUAAACUUACUAAUCUAUUAGUCAUAAUACAGAAGCAAGCUGGUGUCCCUCCAGCAAAGGAGGUCUCAUGCUGUGGCCCUGUGUGCACAAAAGCUUGUGAUGUUUUUAAGUCCAAAAUGACACUCACUGCAUGUAUAUAUUUGUAUGCUCACUCAAUUGGAAGUGUCAGAGAGAAAAUCAGAAUAUAAAUCAAAGCCUAGAACAGGCACAGGCCCUUUCAAACAUAUAUUGUUAUUCCUGAGCCCCGGGUAAUAGAAUGAAGGGAAAGCAGAUCCCAUUAAGUUGUGUUUACCUAAAGGUAGAACAUGAGUAAAAGAAUACUGUAUUUAACUGUUUGUUAGAAGCAUUGACUUGACGCCUUUACAGCACAUCAAAAGACUUCAUUUAUAUCAGGUAGCCAUAAACAGCUCUAGGACAAGAAGCCCCACCUCUUACCUGUGCAUCUUUGUACCUUUAAUUGCCCUUUUUUUUUUUUUGGAGAAAGUAGGUCAGAAAUGUUUGAGCCAGCUCUGCCACCACUGUUCUUUAAGCAGUUUGAACAAGAACCAGCAGAGACAGGGUAGGAGUGUAGCUCAGGAACAGAG
ensembl:lncRNA